rnacentral:misc_RNA from 1 species
CUGAGCUCUUUACUAAUGUUUAUGUGAAAGGUUAUGGAGUGGAGUCCUUCGGUGCUGAUAGAAAGGAGCUGAAGGCUUUUCUGCCCUGAAGCGAACCUGCCUAGUGGAGCCCCUUUGCACGGAAGCCUUGUCAAAGCUGGUGGAUUUUUCUCCCAAGUUUGAAAAUAAAAGGUGGAUUAGAAAAACCACUAUCUGCUCUGCUACCCGCUUUUGAGUUGCAUAGAGAUUUAUUCUGCUUUUUGAGUGUACAUCUUUCUUUCAUACAAUGGUUUUAUAUGUUCUCACUGUAGUAUACUUACGUUGGGAGAUCAAGCAGCUCUUUUGCCGG